rnacentral:rRNA from 1 species
CCUACGGGAGGCUGCAGUGGGGAAUAUUGGACAAUGGGCGAAAGCCUGAUCCAGCCAUGCCGCGUGUGUGAAGAAGGCCUUCGGGUUGUAAAGCACUUUCAGUGGGGAAGAAAGCCUUGGGGCUAAUACCCUCGAGGAAGGACAUCACCCACAGAAGAAGCACCGGCUAACUCCGUGCCAGCAGCCGCGGUAAUACGGAGGGUGCGAGCGUUAAUCGGAAUUACUGGGCGUAAAGCGCGCGUAGGCGGUCUGAUAAGCCGGUUGUGAAAGCCCCGGGCUCAACCUGGGAACGGCAUCCGGAACUGUCAGGCUAGAGUGCAGGAGAGGAAGGUAGAAUUCCCGGUGUAGCAGUGAAAUGCGUAGAGAUCGGGAGGAAUACCAGUGGCGAAGGCGGCCUUCUGGACUGACACUGACGCUGAGGUGCGAAAGCGUGGGUAGCGAACAGGAUUAGAUACCCCUGUAGUC